CUUGUACAGGAUAGGUAGGAGCCGAAGAGACGUGUGCGCUAGCAUACGAGGAGGCAAUGGUGGGAUACAACCCAGGCUGUAUGACCAUUCUAACCCGCCACGCUUAGCGCGUGGGGAGACAGAGUCAGGUGGGCAGUAUGACUGGGGCGGUCGCCACCAAAAGAGUAACGGAGGCGCCCAAAGGUUCCCUCAGAAAGGAUGGAAAUCAUACGCAGAGAGUAAAGGCACAAGGGAGCUAGACUGCGAGACAGACAAGACGAGCAGGGACGAAAGUCGGGCUAAGUGAUCCGGUGGA
rnacentral:rRNA from 1 species